CCUCUCAGUGUAUUUACUUUCAUGUGAUGCUCGAGGCCCCUACUACUUGCUUUCCAAUCAUUGACGCUGAUUUCCAGUCAGUGCAGUGGGCUCCUUGUUAAAUGAACAUAUCAAUGUAUUAAAAGGGAGCGCUGAUUGACAGCAAGCUCUCAUGUACCCCGUAGCAGGGCCGUCUACUGUGGGUGGCUCGGUCCCCUCUGUUUUAGUCACAGAUGGGGAUGGAGGUCAUUUCCUGCCACCCAUGUUCUCCCCUCAGACUUUCCCAUUGGGGGGACCUCAGAAAACCAUGGUCCCCGUGUCCCACAGAGCUGGGUUCCAGUAUCUGCCCUGCCACUUACCCGCUGUGUGGCCUUGAGCAUGUCACUUAACCUCCCUGUGCCUCACUUUCCUCUGCUGUAACACGGGGAUAACGAGUAGCUACCCCACAGGGCUAUUGAGGGCACACAAUGUGUGACACCGACACGCUCCACUGCCUGGCACAGAGGACGUCGUAAAUGUCCUUUCUCCUGAAGGCCACAAGCCUUGGAAACCCCGUCUGCCUCGCCCUGGUGCCCUGGGCUGUAGCUCACUCGCUCCUCAGAAUUGUUGAGGGCCUGCUCUGAGCUGUGCUGGGUGCUGGUGCCAGGCUGCCUGGCCUCAACCGCUGGGGAGCAGGCCCAGACGUGUCAGCCUCUGCUGCUGCCUGCGCCCCUCCUGGCCUCCCAGGGAGCUGGUGGGUGUUGAUUUAUAUCUCUCGGGGGUGGUUCCCUGGGCCCUGGGCUGGGACGUGGGGUUCGGGGUGGGAAUGGGGCGUCCAGGCUGGCACAGCGGCACCUUGGGGCAGUGGGGCGAGCGGGGUUGCUCAGAUGCCCAGGAAGAGAGGCAGGUUCCGCUCUGUCAGUGAAUCUCCCUCCGCGCACGGCUGUGCAAGGCCGCGUUCAGGGGCUCGGCUGCAGGGAAGAGAAGGGCGCGACCUGUAGGGGCCAGAAAAGUGGCGAGUGUUUGCUUGUCAUGGCUGGAUCCAGGUUGCAGGGAUCUCUCCCUCUCUUGUCCCUGCUUUAUUCUGUGUCGGCUUCAUUUUGAGGCAGGCUAUUCCCUCAUGUAGUGGCCGAUAUGCCCACUGGCCGCUCCAGGCCUCCAUCCCAAAGCCACGGAGGGAAACGUUUUCUUUCCGGGUAUUCCCAGUAGGAGCCCUGGGGCCGAUUCUCAGUUGCCUGGCUUGGAUCAGGAGCCCAUCUCUGAACCUGUCGCAGGCUGUGGGCAGCAGAGAGGGUCCUGGCACAGUGCUCUGAUUGGCACCUCCAGAGCAGCAGGUGGGAUCAGCUCCAACCCAAACCAGACGGGCUGAGAAUGUGUUGGUGGGGGGGGUCCCCAAAGGGGCCUCUGGGGAAGAGGAAACAGACGGCUGGCCGGAGCGCAGCUGGGUUUAGGACCUGGCUCUGGACUCCAGCCAGCGGAGAGAAUUGGUCGGUGUGCCCUGGCUAGGGCUCAGUGGUUGUGUGGGUGCUCAGGCCUGGCCCAGGCCUCAGAAUUCCAGGCCCAGCUUCUCUUGUUGGUGAGGCAGAGGCCACUGAGACCCCCUCCCUCAUCUCUCCCUUCUCAAGGACGGAGCUGGGCCUAAAUUGCCCUCGUUAGUCAUUGGCCAGAGCUGGUCACGUGCUCCUGUCUGACCAAUCACAGGCUAAGGAAUGGGGUGGCCAUGAUUGGUUUAGACCAAGGAGGAUUAAUCCUGGAGCUGGAGACAGAGGCUUACCUGCCCUGAGCUUUGAGUACCUGACCCCAGUGGCGCAGGUGCUGGGCGGUGUCUGGCCGUGUUUGCUCUAGUGUUGCAGACAUCAGCUGUGGCUCAGACUGGGUGAGAUCAAUUCCAAAAAAAGGAUGUAUGACUCGUUGGCGACCCAGAUCCAGCCGUUGCUUCCUGCUUACUCAUAUCUGGAAAGAAAGGAAGACAGGAAGGCCCUCCCGCAGUGCCCACCCCAGCCUCAGCCCCGCGGGAAGCUCCAGCUGCCCCCCAGCUUCUCCAGCAAACUGUUGGGACUUCGCUUCCUCAUUGUACAAAACUUCCCCUCCGCUCACUUGACACCAGACCGUUUCCCCAAACAAGCAUCUGACCCACAGCAGAAGCAGAGCUGACAGGAGCUGGGAAGGGUCUGCAGGGGCCCGAGGAGGAGAGAGGGCUGCAAAGGAACCUGCCCUGCAGGGACAGGAGCCCAGGCAGAGGAUUCGGGCCAGUCACUUGCUGUCAGAAUCGAUCUUAAGCAGAUUUUACUUCAUUUCUUAUUUUUUAAAGUUUUUUUUUUAAAUAAAAGUAAUACUUACAUGAAGUGAAAAUUCAAAUGUUACGAAAGGACUUAGAAUGGAAAUAUGUUUCUCCCUCACCCGCAACAUCCAGUCUCUCUUCCCAGAUGUUGACCACUGCUCCCGUCUCUUGCCGGGAGGGAAAGGAAGGCCAGGCUGGAGCAGGUGGAGGGCUUGGAGGCAUGCGUGUCCUUCCAGAGAGUUCAUGCCUUUACAAGCAAACGCGUCUGUGUUGAUGCGUCGCUGCGUUACCUUUCUAUUGCUGCAUAAUAAUAUUACCACAAACGUGGCUGCUUUAAGAGGCACGCGUUUAUUGUCCCACAGUUUCUGGGGGUCAGGAGUCUGGGCACGGUUUAGGUGGGCCCUCUACUUAGAGUCUCACAAGGCUGCCAUCCAGGAGUCGGCCAGGGCUGCAGUCUCAUGUGAGGCUCGGUUGGGGAAGGGUCACAGUCAAGCUCCUGUGAGCAUUCGGUUUCUUGUGGACUGUUGGACUGAGAGACUCAGGUCCUCGCUGGCCGUUGGCAGGAGGCCGCCCUCAGUUCCUUCCUCCUCAAGGCCAGCAAGGGUGGGAGAGUCUCCCAGCAAGUUGGAAUUACAGUCUUACCUGAUGUCAUCACAUGCACGUAGUCCCUACGCACCCGUCCCCUUUGCCAUAUUCCAUCGGUUAGGAACAAGUCGCAGGGCCCGCCCACACUCAAGAAGAGGGGGUCAAAGAAGGUGGGGUCACGGGGGCCAUCUCAGAGUCUGUCUGCCACCAUGUCUAUGCCUUCUCUCUCUCUUAUUUUUUAAAAUAAAAGGCAGCAGACAACACAUACUAAUCUUCUUCCUGCCUUCUCCCCCUCACAGCAGGCCCUGGGAGCCCCCUCCCGUCAGGGCUAGGCUGGUGGGGCCGAGACUCUAGGCCACUGAGUUCGGGCUUGACUGUGGAGGCUGCAGAGACCCAGGAAGGAUAGAGAGGGACGUGGUGACCCUAUUUGUGCUUCAGAAAGGACGCUCGUGCUCCCUGCAUGCCAGGCCCCCUAAGUGCUUACCUAUAUCAGCCCAUUUAAUCCUCACGAGCACUCUGGGAGGUAGACACUCUUCUUAUUGCCAUUUUGUAGAAGAGGACAUCGAGGUGCAAAAAGGUGUCACUUACCUAAGGUCACACAGCCAGAAAGCGACAGUCGGGACUCCUACUUCAUUUUACAAA